GCUUGCUUCGGCAGUGUGUAUACUAAAAUUGGAAAGAUACAGACAAUAUUAGCAUGGCCCAUGUGCAAAGAUGCCACAGAAAUUUACUAUCUUCCAAUAUUUUGU